rnacentral:tRNA from 1 species
UCCAAUUUGGCAGAAAAAUGCAAUAAAUUUAGAAUUUAUUUAUGAAAAGUUCAAUUGGAA